rnacentral:rRNA from 1 species
AGUGGGGGACAACCCCGGGAAACUGGGGCUAAUACCGCAUAUGGCCUGAGGGCCAAAGCAGUGAUGCGCCUUUGGAGUUACCUGCGUCCGAUUAGCUAGUUGGUGGGGUAAAGGCCUACCAAGGCGACGAUCGGUAGCUGGUCUGAGAGGACGACCAGCCACACUGGGACUGAGACACGGCCCAGACUCCUACGGGAGGCAGCAGUGGGGAAUAUUGGACAAUGGGCGCAAGCCUGAUCCAGCAAUGCCGCGUGGGUGAAGAAGGUCUUCGGAUCGUAAAGCCCUUUCGGCGGGGACGAUGAUGACGGUACCCGCAGAAGAAGCCCCGGCUAACUUCGUGCCAGCAGCCGCGGUAAUACGAAGGGGGCUAGCGUUACUCGGAAUUACUGGGCGUAAAGGGCGCGUAGGCGGCGUUCCAAGUUAGGCGUGAAAGUCCUGGGCUCAACCUGGGAACUGCGCUUAAGACUGGAGUGCUAGAGGAUGGAAGAGGGUUGUGGAAUUCCCAGUGUAGAGGUGAAAUUCGUA